rnacentral:rRNA from 1 species
GACGAACGCUGGCGGCGUGCCUAACACAUGCAAGUCGAGCGGAGUCAGUAAGAGGAAGUUUUCGGAUGGAAUCUUAUUGAUUUAGCGGCGAACGGGUGAGUAACGCGUGAGCGACCAACCUUGCACAGGGGGAUAACGGACCGAAAGGUUCACUAAUACCGCCUGAGACAACGGUGUUGCAUGACACAGGGGUCAAAGGAGUAAUCCGGUGCAAGACGGGGUCGCGUCCGAUUAGGUAGUUGGAGGGGUAACGGCCCACCAAGCCUAUGAUCGGUAGCCGAACUGAGAGGGUGAUCGGCCAAAUUGGAACUGAGAUACGGUCCAAACUCCUACGGGAGGCAGCAGUGGGGAAUAUUGGGCAAUGGGGGAAACCCUGACCCAGCAACGCCGCGUGAAGGAAGAAGGUUUUCGGAUUGUAAACUUCUGUCCUUGGUGAAGAGAAGAAGACGGUAGCCAAGGAGGAAGCCCCGGCUAACUACGUGCCAGCCGCCGCUGUAA